rnacentral:lncRNA from 9 species
CGCUAGGGGCGGGGAGGACACGCAGCAGCACUUGGUGCUCCUGGCGCCGGUUGGGGCGGUGGGGUCAGGUGCUGAGAACGCAACGUGGCGGUGAGGACAUCUGAUCCCGCCAGAGCAGAGGCAGGAAAGAUGGGCGUCUGGGGCUCGUAAUUUACAUAAAAUUGGCGUUGAUACUCGCGCACUGCUGCCGCCGCCGCCUGACCACCACCCACUUCGCCGGACUUCUGCUCCAGGAAGGGGCUGGGUCCUUCUGGAAUUCAUCGUCAUCUUCAUUGCUUUUGUGGCUUCUUUUCAAAAUGAGAAACCUUUUUUUUUUUUCUUUUUUAAUUUUUAGGAAGAAUCAGAUUCAAAAUAAGACAUUAACUGCGAAAUCCAAAAUGGCUGCGCUUACCCUAUUGAUAAAAACAGGCUUCUAUGGCUUGCAGUUGAACGUGUCAUCUUGAUGCAGAAAUUCACUAAAAACUAGGAAGAAAUCAUAAAAGAUUGAUAAAAAGGACUUUAACCACUGGGCAUGCCAAUACUGAAUAGCAAUGAGAUUUUAGUAAAGAAGAUGGAAGCUCCGGUCUACAAAAGGGUGAGUCAAAAUGAGAAGUGUGUGUGGGAGAUUGAGUAUAUUCGAUACAGUUUAUAAGAAACUGUCCAAGCAUUCAAACACUAUUACUGCCUUUAUAGUAGUUGAGAAAUUGUUGAAAAGUUUCAUGUGUGAACCUAUGUAAUCCCGAUUUUCUGUGACUGAAACUACCUUAACUUAUUGCUGAAAUUCUGCCUCUGUCUGCCAGUGCUGAAGUGAAAUCCAGAGACAAAGUUUGGGGUAAAAGAGAAAAAGAUAGCCUUAUUGCUUUGUUAGGCAAAGGGAGCCACAGAAGGCUAAUUCCUUAAAGACUGCACUCCCCUUUGAAGGGGUUAGGAGGUGAUUUUAUAGUUUUUGGUGUAGAAGAAAGAUUAGGGCUAUAGAUAAGAAUCAGGGUAGAGGCAAGCUUGCAUUGUUUUUCAAGGUUGAUGCUUCGUGGCCACAGGACUGGUUCUGGUGGUCCUCCUUGCAGAAAUGAAUAAUGCUUCAUCAAGUAGUUCUUCCAUUUGUUGCGGGUUUUAGUUCUAUAGAAAGGUUCAAAGAUAUUUUUGUGUAUAUUCUCAAGGAGGUACCAGGAUUCUGCCCCAAGGCUGCACGGCUCCUCCCAGGUCUCUGCAUCCCUUCCCUUCCAUGAUUAGCAACUGCCCUUUGGACUCAGGGAAGGUCAUGGGGGCUGGGGCUUAUUCCCUAAAAGCAAGAAAUGGAGGACAUAGAAAGGCUUGUGUGCCUAGGAGCUUUACAGGGCAUCAGCUCAGUUAUAGGCUC